rnacentral:tRNA from 1 species
UUUAAUAUGGCAGACAAGUGCAAUGGAUUUAAGCUCCAUAAAUGAAGGGAUCCUUCUAUUAAAA